rnacentral:rRNA from 1 species
GAUUGACCUCGGAUCAGGUAGGGAUACCCGCUGAACUUAAGCAUAUCAAUAAGCGGAGGAAAAGAAACCAACAGGGAUUGCCUCAGUAACGGCGAGUGAAGCGGCAACAGCUCAAAUUUGAAAUCUGGCUCCUUCGGGGUCCGAGUUGUAAUUUGUAGAGGAUGUUUCGGGUGCGGUGCCGGUCUAAGUCCCUUGGAACAGGGCGUCAUAGAGGGUGAGGAUCCCGUAUGUGACCGGUGGCCAAGCCCAUGUGAAACUCCUUCGACGAGUCGAGUUGUUUGGGAAUGCAGCUCAAAAUGGGUGGUAAAUUUCAUCUAAAGCUAAAUACCGGCCAGAGACCGAUAGCGCACAAGUAGAGUGAUCGAAAGAUGAAAAGCACUUUGGAAAGAGAGUCAAAAAGUACGUGAAAUUGUUGAAAGGGAAGCGCUUGUAACCAGACCUGCCGUCGGGUGCUCCGCGGGCAUUCUUGCCCGUCCACACACCCGCGAUCAGGCCAGCAUCGGUUUCGGCGGCCGGAUAAAGACUCGAGGAAUGUAGCUUCGCUUCGGGGAAGUGUUAUAGCCUCUUGUGCAAUACGGCCAGCCGGGACCGAGGACCGCGCUUCGGCUAGGAUGCUGGCGUAAUGGUUGCAAGCGACCCGUCUUGAAACACGGACCAAGGAGUCUAACAUCAACGCGAGUGUUUGGGUGUCAAACCCAUGCGCGGAAUGAAAGUGAACGGAGGUGGGAACCCUUUAGGGCGCACCAUCGACCGAUCCGGAAGUUUACGGAUGGAUUUGAGUAUGAGCGCUGAUGUUGGGACCCGAAAGAUGGUGAACUAUGCCUGAAUAGGGUGAAGCCAGAGGAAACUCUGGUGGAGGCUCGCAGCGGUUCUGACGUGCAAAUCGAUCGUCAAAUUUGGGUAUAGGGGCGAAAGACUAAUCGAACCAUCUAGUAGCUGGUUCCUGCC